AGGUGUUUUGUUUUCUCUCUGUUGUUGUUUUUCUGUUUCUUCUUUUUGCGACUUAUUAUUUCAUGUAUUCUCUAGGUCGAGGAAGGAGGUC
rnacentral:ribozyme from 13 species